rnacentral:rRNA from 1 species
GGGUUGUGAGGUUAAGCGACUAAGCGUACACGGUGGAUGCCCUGGCAGUCAGAGGCGAUGAAGGACGUGCUAAUCUGCGAAAAGCGCCGGUAAGGUGAUAUGAACCGUUAUAGCCGGCGAUGUCCGAAUGGGGAAACCCAGUGUGAUUCGUCACACUAUCAUUAACUGAAUCCAUAGGUUAAUGAGGCGAACCGGGGGAACUGAAACAUCUAAGUACCCCGAGGAAAAGAAAUCAACCGAGAUUCCCCCAGUAGCGGCGAGCGAACGGGGAGCAGCCCAGAGCCUGAAUCAGCUUGUGUGUUAGUGGAAGCGUCUGGAAAGUCGCGCGAUACAGGGUGACAGCCCCGUACACAAAAGCACACAGGCUGUGAGCUCGAUGAGUAGGGCGGGACACGUGGUAUCCUGUCUGAAUAUGGGGGGACCAUCCUCCAAGGCUAAAUACUCCUGACUGACCGAUAGUGAACCAGUACCGUGAGGGAAAGGCGAAAAGAACCCCGGCGAGGGGAGUGAAAAAGAACCUGAAACCGUGUACGUACAAGCAGUGGGAGCACCUUCGGGUGUGACUGCGUACCUUUUGUAUAAUGGGUCAGCGACUUAUAUUCUGUAGCAAGGUUAACCGAAUAGGGGAGCCGAAGGGAAACCGAGUCUUAACUGGGCGUUAAGUUGCAGGGUAUAGACCCGAAACCCGGUGAUCUAGCCAUGGGCAGGUUGAAGGUUGGGUAACACUAACUGGAGGACCGAACCGACUAAUGUUGAAAAAUUAGCGGAUGACUUGUGGCUGGGGGUGAAAGGCCAAUCAAACCGGGAGAUAGCUGGUUCUCCCCGAAAGCUAUUUAGGUAGCGCCUCGUGAAUUCAUCUCCGGGGGUAGAGCACUGUUUCGGCUAGGGGGCCAUCCCGGCUUACCAACCCGAUGCAAACUACGAAUACCGGAGAAUGUUAUCACGGGAGACACACGGCGGGUGCUAACGUCCGUCGUGAAGAGGGAAACAACCCAGACCGCCAGCUAAGGUCCCAAAGUCAUGGUUAAGUGGGAAACGAUGUGGGAAGGCCCAGACAGCCAGGAUGUUGGCUUAGAAGCAGCCAUCAUUUAAAGAAAGCGUAAUAGCUCACUGGUCGAGUCGGCCUGCGCGGAAGAUGUAACGGGGCUAAACCAUGCACCGAAGCUGCGGCAGCGACGCUUAUGCGUUGUUGGGUAGGGGAGCGUUCUGUAAGCCUGCGAAGGUGUGCUGUGAGGCAUGCUGGAGGUAUCAGAAGUGCGAAUGCUGACAUAAGUAACGAUAAAGCGGGUGAAAAGCCCGCUCGCCGGAAGACCAAGGGUUCCUGUCCAACGUUAAUCGGGGCAGGGUGAGUCGACCCCUAAGGCGAGGCCGAAAGGCGUAGUCGAUGGGAAACAGGUUAAUAUUCCUGUACUUGGUGUUACUGCGAAGGGGGGACGGAGAAGGCUAUGUUAGCCGGGCGACGGUUGUCCCGGUUUAAGCGUGAAGGUGUGUGCUCCAGGCAAAUCCGGAGCACUUUAACACUGAGGCGUGAUGACGAGGCACUACGGUGCUGAAGUAACAAAUGCCCUGCUUCCAGGAAAAGCCUCUAAGCUCCAGGUAACACGAAAUCGUACCCCAAACCGACACAGGUGGUCAGGUAGAGAAUACCAAGGCGCUUGAGAGAACUCGGGUGAAGGAACUAGGCAAAAUGGUGCCGUAACUUCGGGAGAAGGCACGCUGAUAUGUAGGUGAAGUCCCUCGCGGAUGGAGCUGAAAUCAGUCGAAGAUACCAGCUGGCUGCAACUGUUUAUUAAAAACACAGCACUGUGCAAACACGAAAGUGGACGUAUACGGUGUGACGCCUGCCCGGUGCCGGAAGGUUAAUUGAUGGGGUCAUCCGUAAGGAGAAGCUCUUGAUCGAAGCCCCGGUAAACGGCGGCCGUAACUAUAACGGUCCUAAGGUAGCGAAAUUCCUUGUCGGGUAAGUUCCGACCUGCACGAAUGGCGUAAUGAUGGCCAGGCUGUCUCCACCCGAGACUCAGUGAAAUUGAACUCGCUGUGAAGAUGCAGUGUACCCGCGGCAAGACGGAAAGACCCCGUGAACCUUUACUAUAGCUUGACACUGAACACUGGUCCUUGAUGUGUAGGAUAGGUGGGAGGCUUUGAAGCGUGGACGCCAGUCUGCGUGGAGCCGCCCUUGAAAUACCACCCUUUAAUGGCUGGUGUUCUAACGUGGACCCGUAAUCCGGGUUGCGGACAGUGUCUGGUGGGUAGUUUGACUGGGGCGGUCUCCUCCUAAAGCGUAACGGAGGAGCACGAAGGUCAGCUAAUCCUGGUCGGACAUCAGGAGGUUAGUGCAAUGGCAUAAGCUGGCUUGACUGCGAGCGUGACGGCGCGAGCAGGUGCGAAAGCAGGUCAUAGUGAUCCGGUGGUUCUGAAUGGAAGGGCCAUCGCUCAACGGAUAAAAGGUACUCCGGGGAUAACAGGCUGAUACCGCCCAAGAGUUCAUAUCGACGGCGGUGUUUGGCACCUCGAUGUCGGCUCAUCACAUCCUGGGGCUGAAGUAGGUCCCAAGGGUAUGGCUGUUCGCCAUUUAAAGUGGUACGCGAGCUGGGUUUAGAACGUCGUGAGACAGUUCGGUCCCUAUCUGCCGUGGGCGCUGGAGAAUUGAGGGGGGCUGCUCCUAGUACGAGAGGACCGGAGUGGACGCAUCACUGGUGUUCGGGUUGUCAUGCCAAUGGCACUGCCCGGUAGCUAAAUGCGGAAGAGAUAAGUGCUGAAAGCAUCUAAGCACGAAACUUGCCCCGAGAUGAGUUCUCCCUGAGACCUUGAGUCUCCUGAAGGAACGUUGAAGACGACGACGUUGAUAGGCCGGGUGUGUAAGCGCAGCGAUGCGUUGAGCUAACCGGUACUAAUGAACCGUGAGGCUUAACCUUACAACGCCGAAG